GCGCCUGUAGCUCAGUAGGAUAGAGCGACGGAUUCCUAAUCCGUAGGUCGGGGGUUCGAAUCCUCCCGGGCGCACCA
rnacentral:tRNA from 1 species